GUGCGCACUCUCUCUCAAAAAUAAAUAAACAUUAAAAAAAAAAAGGAAGAGAAAGAGGAGAAAGAAAUGAACGAUUCUAAGAUUCAGACAUUAUUCUUAGUGUGGAAUAAUAUUUGAAGGUAGGCUAUGAUAAGCUGAAAUUGUACACUAUAAAGUCUAAAGCAACCAAUUAGAAAAAGAAAGAGGUAUAGCUAGUAAGCCAAAAAUGGAGAUAAAAUGGAAUGCUUAAACAAUAUUCAAUUUAUCUAAAAUAAGGCAAGGAAAGAGAGAAAA